rnacentral:rRNA from 1 species
CAGGUAGGUGGUCUCAUUUGUCUGGGGUGAAAUCCUUCGGCUUAACCGGAGAAGUGCCCCAGAAACGGUAAGACUGGAGUCCUGGAGAGGGUCGUGGAAUUCCCGGUGUAGCGGUGAAAUGCGUAGAGAUCGGGAGGAACACCAGAGGCGAAGGCGGCGACCUGGACAGGUACUGACACUCAACUGCGAAAGCGUGGGGAGCAAACAGGAUUAGAUACCCUGGUAGUCCACGCUGUAAACGAUGGGUACUAGGUUUAGUGGGUCUUGACCCCCGCUGAACCGGCGCUAACGCACUAAGUACCCCGCCUGGGAAGUACGGUCGCAAGACUAAA